AACGCGAAGAACCUUACCAAGGCUUGACAUGGGGUGAAAACUCGCAGAGAUGCGGGGUCCGCAAGGGCGCCUCACAGGUGGUGCAUGGUUGUCGUCAGCUCGUGUCGUGAGAUGUUGGGUUAAGUCCCGCAACGAGCGCAACCCUCGUUCUAUGUUGCCAGCACGUUAUGGUGGGGACUCAUAGGAGACUGCCGGGGUCAACUCGGAGGAAGGUGGGGAUGACGUCAAAUCAUCAUGCCCCUUAUGUCUUGGGCUUCACGCAUGCUACAAUGGCCAGUACAAAGGGCUGCGAGACCGUAAGGUGGAGCGAAUCCCAAAAAGCUGGUCUCAGUUCGGAUCGGGGUCUGCAACUCGACCCCGUGAAGUCGGAGUCGCUAGUAAUCGCAGAUCAGCAACGCUGCGGUGAAUACGUUCCCGGGCCUUGUACACACCGCUGUA
rnacentral:rRNA from 1 species